ACUUUUGGGAACCCUUACUAUGCGAGGAGAUUAUAGAGAGGACUCUCUUGUGACCACUGCAGGCUUCUAGAAGAACUGAGUCAGCUGCAGAUCAGAGAUGGAGAGGAGAGGAAUCGCUGAGAAGAAAUGAAACACUUCAACAAAUUCACUCUGUGGGACAGUGGAUAAGGAAGAUCACAGUCGUUUGGCCUGGGGAUCUGGAACUUAUUAAUGUCACCGGGCUUCUCCAACCUUCGGUGGCAGAAAUCUGGACUCUUCCUGCUCUUAGGAGACCUUAACAUGAACUGAAGUUCACUAAACUUUGUAACUAAAUAAAGUCAGGGUUUCUGAAA
rnacentral:lncRNA from 1 species